UACGAAGGGUGCAAGCGUUACUCGGAAUUACUGGGCGUAAAGCGUGCGUAGGCGGUUCGUUAAGUCAGAUGUGAAAGCCCCGGGCUCAACCUGGGAAUUGCAUUUGAUACUGGCGGGCUAGAGUACGGUAGAGGGUGGUGGAAUUCCCGGUGUAGCAGUGAAAUGCGUAGAGAUCGGGAGGAACAUCUGUGGCGAAGGCGGCCACCUGGACCAGUACUGACGCUGAGGCACGAAAGCGUGGGGAGCAAAC
rnacentral:rRNA from 1 species